CCUUCGAUAGCUCAGUCGGUAGAGCGGUGGACUGUAGUUGGCUACGAUUGCAUGAAAGAGAAGACAUCCAUAGGUCGCUGGUUUCAAAUCCGGCUCGAAGGA
rnacentral:tRNA from 1 species